UUGCGCUCAUCGGGGUGCAUUACCUUGCUCGUUUUGGCGGCAAUGGUAGCGCUGAGAAAUACCCGUUGAACCUGAUCUGAUUAGUAGCAGCGAAGGGAUUUGAGAAUGCGUUUUUC
rnacentral:ncRNA from 1 species